GUGAACGACCCUUCGGGGAGCUUACACAGGUGCUGCAUGGCUGUCGUCAGCUCGUGUCGUGAGAUGUUCGGUUAAGUCCGCUAACGAGCGCAACCCUCACUGUGUGUUACAUGUGUCACACGGGACUGCCGGUUUUAAGCCGGAGAAGGCAGGAUGACGUCAAGUCAGCAUGGCCUUUAUAUCUUGGGCUACACACACGCUACAAUGGUCUGUACAAUAGGUUGCCAAGCCGCGAGGCGGAGCCAAUCCUUAAAGCAGGCCUCAGUUCAGAUUGCAGGCUGCAACCCGCCUGCAUGAAGAUGGAGUUGCUAGUAACCGCAGGUCAGCUAUACUGCGGUGAAUACGUUCCCGGGUCUU
rnacentral:rRNA from 1 species